GGCUUUCUGCAUCCGUGCAGAGAUUUCGUCAGUCAUCAACCCUUUAGGGUUGAUCAUACUCCCAAGAUAAGUGAAGUU
rfam:Schistosoma mansoni strain Puerto Rico chromosome W, complete genome